UUCUGGCAUAGACUUUCUUCUUCCAACAUCAGGUGCAAAUGAUGAUUACAAGAAGCCUUGCUUGUUGUGGAGAAAAUGCGGCCAAACACCUCUUCUUCUGUUUGUUGAAGUUACAAAAUACGUGGUCAAUGGAGUCUAAUUUGAAUGAAAUUUUAUGGGCACACAGAGGUUGGUGUGAAGUAAGGAACGCUCUAUUUUGACCUCUGUAGCCUCUCUACAGAGAGCUUAAUAGAUAAAUGUUUCAAAUUACAGUAUGUUCCAAUUAUUGUACAUUUAUGGGACGGUGUGAGCUCCCUCUACGGGCUAAUUUAACGUCUGCAAAUUCCAAUAAUUCUUUUUUGUAACAAAGCCUCUGUGUAGCCUAGUGGAUAAGGUGCCUGCCUAAGGUUUCUAAGGUUGUGCUCUUUUGAGCGUGUGCAAGAUGGCUGCCACAAAAGUGUUUGAAGCUGCCGCGUUUGAAGCUGCCGCGUGUGUUUGAAGCUGCCGCAUUUGAAGCUGCCAGGUUUGAAGCUGCCGCGUGUGUUUGAAGCCGGCGUGUUUGAUGUUGCUGAGUACGUUUGUAAAUUUGAGGCAGACUUUAAUAUUGUUAGACGGUAGGGGAGUCCUUUUCAACCUUUUUUCAUUUUUCACUUGAACUUUUAAAAAGUUUUAUUUUAACUUUUUUUUUAAACUAUUUUAACUACUUAUGUCAGCUGAGGAAUGCUGUGAUUCACAGCCAUUAUUGUAAGGAGGCUGUUAUGUAUUUUUAGUGCUGCUGGGACCAUAGGAAUUUUUGAGUGACUUUGACUGCAGACAACAAUGUGGAGAAUAAUCCCGGCUGUGAAAAGUGCUGUUGGGGCUGCAGAAAAGUACAGAAUAAUUUUGACCAAGGGCAAUCAUGGCUGCUUUUAGAAGACAUCCAAGAAUGCCUGAGUGUUGAAUCUCUUCCUCCAUCCUUGUGCCUCUGCAGUUCAGUGACCUCAACAUGGGAGGAGAAAUGCGCGUGUCCCAGAAGCCCCACACAUUGGUCAAGCCAGCUGAGAGGUUAAGAGGCACAGCUACUUGUUGUGCUUCAAGAGGGACUGUAAACCUCCGCUUGUAAUACCUGCUUCCGAAGGAGAGCUUCCCCUUAGUUAAUCAAGUGCUAUUUGUAGGAACUCUUCCUGAUGCAUUUGGAAAACCUGAUUUGUUCCAUACGUGCCUCUCUGAAGAUCAUGUGACUCAUAUCUCAGGUGACGUUCAAAACAUCUUCCCUGGAGGUGAAAAAACAGCUCUUGAACUGGGGAGAGAGUGGCAAACUCCUUUGUUUCUUGGUUCUUCAUGGUACCCUUAUCGCCAAACUGUCACAGGAAAAAAAGAGAGACAGACAACUUCUGAAACAUUGAUUAGUAGUGUACUGACAAAAACUGGUCUCCAUUGACAAGAAACAACAGAGCAAUUGUUAGUUUAUGCAACUUAUACUGAGCAUACAGCCAGAUAAGCAUAAAUGAAACAUCCUACCACAAUCAAUUGCGAUGGAAAUCAGAGCAGACCUCUCCAGAUCAGCCUUGCAUAUCCCGAUGAGAGUGAUCCUAUAAAGUUCUAGGAGAGCACUUCUCCUCCCUUUCCCUGGGGUUUGUAACCUCCGAACCUGUACAUUAGGUGAAGUUGGACUCAUUGUACGCUCAGAACCAGGUAACAUUCCCUGCAUAGUCUACAUCUGGGUCUUUCAGUACUGUUUGUAACUUUGUCAGAUUUUUAGAACCGUUUCCAUGAUAAUGAAGAACUCAUCUGGAUUCAACUUUCCCCAUCUGCUUUCUGCCUGUUGUCAGAGAUCAAAAUGGAAAGUAUGCUCGAGCUGUAAUCUAUGUGUUGGUAUGAACUCAUUGUGAAUAUAGAAUGUCAUCCCAUUCACCUCCCUACUAAGAGGAUACUACAAAACAAGAGAGUUUCAUUAAGGAUAAUUUUGGGUCUUGAUGAUAAAAAACAAUCCUUGUAUAAAGAUAAUGAAAAAAUUGAAUUUUCCCAUAGAUACAAGAUGAAUAAGUAGCUCGUGACAGCUAUAUAAAACCGGAAAAGUUUCUCUUCUGAGAAUUUGGACAGUAAAAAAGGUGAUAUUCACUGGGAGCAGGACACUGAUAAUGAUAAGCGAGUGCUUUUACCAGAUAUGGGCUAAUGUGGCAGAGAAUUUCGUUGGCUUCAAAAUGACAUGAAGAAAAAGGAAUCCACUGAUUCCAAAUGGACAAGAUGUGUACUUGAAAUUAUCAGAGCUAGGACAAAAGAUUAACAACUAUUCAUGAUCUUGGACUGCUUGCUUGAAGAAGACUGGAUCUUUGUAGUAACCUGAGGAUUGUUUUCAAGAUAAAACUGUGUUAAAUUGUGGUUAUGGAGAUCAAGCAGUUGGUAUUGGUUUCAAAUAAUUCACUUCAGAAUGAUACGAGUGUGCAUGGAGUUUGUUGAAUGUCUUUUGUCAUAUUUAGAGAUAUAUAUUACCAGAAGAGUUACAGUGCUUGUUUAAUGUAGAAUUAAACUAUAUGCAGUGUGCUGGUGGAAACUAUCAGCAAUGAGAGCAACCCCUUUCCUCCAGCUGAUAUUAAAAACAUUAUUUGAUAUAAUGGUGAUUAUGCAAAUACUGUGAUUUCUAUUAAAGCUUGAAAGUAGGUGAGAUGUUCUGCUGCUGUGCCUGUGGAAAACACAUUCUUUAAAAAGAAAAACUAUGCCUGGCACCAUUAAGAGGGUCGGUUGGCUUGAAUUCAUUGGAGUUUUCUAGCAUGACAGUUUGUGCUACUAAUGAGGCAAUAUUGGGAGUGAAAGCAAUUUUUGAGACUUGCUUUGUCAGCUGUUUUGCAUGGUAAUGAAUCCCCUUAAAGCUUGAGGCCACAGGAUUUGCCUUUUCCUCUCUUUGAUUGAAUGAAACGCCUAACUCUGGCAAUAAAGAAGCUGCAAUUAAAGAACUUUACUUGAAGGAGCUCUACAGUUCUGUAACUUUGGGAUGUGGAGGGGGAAGAGAUUCACUUUGGGGAAGAAAAUGUACACUCAUUCACUAUAAAGUUGUUCAAAUGACAAUUUCUUUAAGCACUUAACUUUAAAGCAAAUGCAGGAGAAAAUAUUCCAAGUAGUAUGUUAUAUAUAUGUUAAGUGGUAUUGUUCGCACCAUGCUAUCUUUUUUUUUUUUUUCCCCAAACCCAUAUUUCUCUCACUUUUUCCUCAUGCUGAUUCUGAAGUGGCACAUCCAAAAUAGUAUCAUAGAAUCAUAGACUCCAUAGAGUUGGAAGGGACCUCUGAAGGCCAUCUAGUCCAACUCCCCUGCAACGAACAGGGACACCACAGCUAGAACAUGUUGCCUAGGUGAAUCUCAUGACGUUCAACAAAUCCAAAUGCAAUAUCUUGCACCUGGGUCGAGGCAAUCCCCAUUACCAAUACACACUGGGGGAUGAAAGGAUUGAGUGCAGCCCUGACAAAAAAGACCUGGGGGUACUGGUGGAAGGGAAGCUGGACAUUAGUCAUCAAUGUGCCCUCACAGCCCAGAGAGCCAACAGUAUCCUGGGCUGCCUCAAAAGAAACACACAGAAUCAUAGAAUCAUAGAAUUACUCAGGUUGGAAAGGAC